ACCUCCAUAGCUCAGUGGACAGAGCCGCGCGUUUCUACCGCGUGGGGCCGGGGUUCGAAUCCUCGUGGGGGUG
rnacentral:tRNA from 1 species